AAGUCGUAACAAGGUUUCCGUAGGUGAACCUGCGGAAGGAUCAUUAUCGAAAUAAAUCUGAACAGGCUGUUGCUGGUCGGAAGACAUGUGCACGCUUGUCCUCUUUAUUUUUCCAACUGUGCACAUAUUGUAGACCUUUUUGAGGGAAUGAUGGCCAAGGUCUAUGUUACAUUUAACAACUUGUUGUAGAAUGGGGGGAUAUGAAACAAAUAUACAACUUUCAGCAACGGAUCUCUUGGCUCUCGCAUCGAUGAAGAACGCAGCGAAAUGCGAUAAGUAAUGUGAAUUGCAGAAUUCAGUGAAUCAUCGAAUCUUUGAACGCAUCUUGCGCUCCUUGGUAUUCCGAGGAGCAUGCCUGUUUGAGUGUCAUCAAGUUCUCAACCAUACCUCGGUGUGGCUUGGAUCUGGGGGUUUUUGCAGGCUUCAAAGAAAGUCGGCUCCCCUGAAAAGCAUUAGCGGUGUCCGAGUACCUUUGGUGUGAUAACUAUCUAUGCCUUGGUGUAUACGAUGCAUGCUGCUUCUGAACUUCAUUUUAUUGACAAAUUUGACCUCAAAUCAGGUAGGAUUACCCGCUGAACUUAAGCAUAUCAAUAAGCGGAGGAAAAGAAACUAACAAGGAUUCCCCUAGUAACUGCGAGUGAAGCGGGAAAAGCUCAAAUUUAAAAUCUGGCGGUCGUUGGCCGUCCGAGUUGUAAUCUAGAGAAGUGUUACCUGUGCUGGACCGUGUACAAGUCUCCUGGAAUGGAGCAUCAUAGAGGGUGAGAAUCCCGUCUUUGACAUGGACUGCCUGUACAUGAUGGUGCGCUCUCGAAGAGUCGAGUUGUUUGGGAAUGCAGCUCAAAAUGGGUGGUAAAUGCCAUCUAAAGCUAAAUAUUGGCGAGAGACCGAUAGCGAACAAGUACCGUGAGGGAAAGAUGAAAAGAACUUUGGAAAGAGAGUUAAACAGUACGUGAAAUUGCUGAAAGGGAAACGCUUGAAGUCAGUCGCGUUGGCUAGAAAUCAGCCUUGCUCUUGCUCGGUGUACUUUCUUGUCGACGGGUCAGCAUCAGUUUUGACCAUUGGAGAAGGACAUUGGGAAUGUGGCAUCCUUGGAUGUGUUAUAGCCCGGUGUCGCAUACGAUGGUUGGGAUUGAGGAACUCAGCACGCCGCAAGGCCGGGUCUCUGACCACGUUCGUGCUUAGGAUGCUGGCAUAAUGGCUUUAAUCGACC
rnacentral:rRNA from 1 species